GUUUUUUUCUUUUCCUUUCUCUUCUUUUCUUACUUUUUCAUUCCCCUACCUCUUUAUUCACUCAACCCACAACUCUCAACCUCAUUUUUCAUCCCAACUAUACCCUAGGAGAGAGAAAGGAAGAAAGACGAAAGGAAAGAAAGAAAGGAAAAAGGAAGAGAAAAGCUCAAAGGAAGCUCGGCUUUGGAGGGGAAAAGAGAAAAUUGAGAGGUUUUCCUCCCCACCCACACACCAUCAUUGAGGUUGAGAAGAUUUUGGUGGUUUGCCUUGUGGAUUUCGAGCAAGGAUCAAUAAAGAUCCAAGGAACCUGAGGCAUGCAUGUGGAAGAAUCUUGGAAUGCGUGGUGAUUUUGAGCUAGGUUAAGUGGUGGUGCACAUGACGGUGCCAGUAAUGUGCGUUGUGGGAGAGCACACGCCGAUGAUAUAUGCCAUGUGCAGUGUGGGAGAGCACAUGAUGAUGA
rnacentral:sRNA from 10 species